GACGCCCCACAAGCACCGCACGGGGGCAGCGGCCGCGGAAGGGGCCCCGCAGAGUGCGGCGCUGCCUUCCUGCCUUCCGGGCACACAGGUGCCCGCCCUUCCCUCGCUCGGUCCAGGCGGCCUCCCCAGAAGGAGGCAACCCUCCACCUGAGAAGUCACAGCCCCGGGACCACCACCCUCCCCGCGGGCUGGAGAGCUCCCGAUGCUUCCUAGAGGCGGCAAAGAAGGGCUCCUUGAGACAGAAACUCCCAAGUCCUCUCAUUAAUAAUUAGCAUAGUACCUGGGAUAUGGUGCUCUGUGAAUGAAGCCUGUCAAAAGAUGAGCCAGAGAACCUCCAAGCACAGUCGUCCGGGAUGCAAACCUCAGCUCCUCCAAAGCACGCGUCCCGCGUUCCAAUCAGACAUUGCAAUGUUGCAAAUGAAACUGGACCAGAUGCAGAACGGACGUAGGAGCCGCCAGCCGAAUGCAGACGAAGCAAGAGAAGACUCCAUGAUGGAAGAAGCCUGAAUCCCCUCCCAGGACAGUUCACAGUCCCAGUGUCUCAGGGAGAAAAUAAACCUGUAUGGUCGUAAGUCA